rnacentral:ncRNA from 2 species
GAGAACCACGGGAGCCCGGCGAUCGGGCUGAGAGGGGACCAGGCGCGGUCCCGACCGUCGAACCUGAUCCGGGUCAUGCCGGCGCAGGGAGCGAGGUGGCAGAUCCAU